GAUGAACGCUGGCGGCGUGCCUAAUACAUGCAAGUCGAGCGAAGCGGGGACGGGUGAGUAACACGUGGAUAACCUCCUAUAAGACUGGGCUAAUUUCGGGAAACCGGAGCUAACCCGGAUACUUCCAGAUGGAUCCUCGCUGCAUUAGCUAGUUGGUAAGGUAACGGCCUACCAAGGCAACGAUGCAUAGCCGACCUGAGAGGGUGAUCGGCCACACUGGAACUGAGACACGGGCCAGACUCCUACGGGAGGCAGCAGUAGGGAAUCUUCCGCAAUGGGAGAAAGCCUGACGGAGCAACGCCGCGUGAGUGAUGAAGGUCUUCGGGUCGGAAAGCUCUUUUAUUAGGGAAGCGGUACCUAAUCAGAAAGCCACGGCUAACUACGUGCCAGCAGCCGCGGUAAUUC
rnacentral:rRNA from 1 species